GACGAACGCUGGCGGCGUGCUUAACACAUGCAAGUCGAACGGAAAGGCCCCUUUGGGGGUACUCGAGUGGCGAACGGGUGAGUAACACGUGAGUAACCUGCCCUUGACUUCGGGAUAACUUCAGGAAACUGGGGCUAAUACCGGAUAGGAAUCCUUGCUGCAUGGUGGGGGUUGGAAAGCUUCGGCGGUUUUGGAUGGACUCGCGGCUUAUCAGCUUGUUGGUGGGGUAGUGGCUUACCAAGGCUUUGACGGGUAGCCGGCCUGAGAGGGCGACCGGCCACAUUGGGACUGAGAUACGGCCCAGACUCCUACGGGAGGCAGCAGUGGGGAAUAUUGCACAAUGGGCGGAAGCCGGAUGCAGCAACGCCGCGUGCGGGAUGACGGCCUUCGGGUUGUAAACCGCUUUCAGCAGGGGCGAAGCUUGUGGUGACGGUACCUGCAGAAGAAGCACCGGCUAACUACG
rnacentral:rRNA from 1 species